rnacentral:tRNA from 1 species
UCCCUCUUAGCUCAGCUGGUAGAGCGCGUCACUAGUAUGAAUUGCUAGGAAAUCCUAUGACGAGGUCAGUCGUUCAAGUCGGCUAGAGGGAA